AUGAACAGCUACUAUUACUACUUGGAGGACUCGCGGCAGUGGUUCUGGUGGAGCGGCGGCUGGCGCACAACUAACGAUGGCAGACGUUAUCCUGCAGUUAAUAUAGUAAUAUUAACUGAGGUCUCCUUCGAAUAUGUAUUCGGCAGAAAACCAUUAACCGAACCCCCUCAGGAUAGCUCUCCCGGAAUUGUGAUCUCGAUCAAAGAUAUGGAUGAUUGGCAAUUGCGCUGGGACAAUUCUGCUCGAUACAACAAGCUGUUGGUGUAUUCGUUCUACGACAAGAAUUCCACACUGUCCAAGGCCAUGGACAAGCUGUUGGAGAAACUCGCCAAGCAGUAUAAAGGCAAGGCAGACUUCUGCAAGUUGGACGUCGACAACUUCGAGGUACAGACACAACCAGAUGAUUUCCAUGCAUGUAUCAUUAUUUGGAAGCGGACGCGCGUGCUUAUUGCAAUCAAUUAUCAACCGUACGUGCAGUUUUUGGCGGGGCUUUGCGGAGUGGAGGGAGCGUAUCCGACGUUCGUGCUAUUCAAGAAGUGCAAGCAGGUGGGCAAGGUCGUCGGCCUCAAGGACGACGAACUCGAGCGGAGCAUCGAGCGAGCGCUAAACUAG
rnacentral:rRNA from 1 species